GAUGAACGCUGGCGGCGUGCCUAAUACAUGCAAGUCGAGCGAACAGACGAGUAUCUUGCUCCUCUUACGUUAGCGGCUGACGGGUGAUUAACACGUUUAUAACCUACCUAUAAUACUUGGAUAACUUCGUGAAACCGUAUCUAAUACCGGAUAACAUUUUUAUCCGCAUGGUUCAACAGUUUAUGACGGUCUUUCUGUCACUUAUAGAUGGUUCCUCGCCGCAUUAGCUAGUUGGUAAGGUAACGGCUUACCAAGGCAACGAUGCGUAGCCGACCUGAGAGGGUGAUCGGCCACACUGGAACUGAGACAAGGAAAAGAGUACUACGGGAGGCAGCAGUAGGGAAUAGGGCGCAAUGGGCGAAAGCAUGACGGAGCAACGCCGAGUGAGAGAAGAAGGUCUUAGGAUCGGAAAAAAAUGUUAUUAGGGAAGAAAAAAUGUGUAAGAAAAUAUGCACGGAAUGACGGUAACUAAUAAGAAAGCAACGGCUAACUACGUG
rnacentral:rRNA from 1 species